UACGGGGGGGGCAAGCGUUGUUCGGAAUUACUGGGCGUAAAGGGCUCGUAGGCGGCCAACUAAGUCAGACGUGAAAUCCCUCGGCUUAACCGGGGAACUGCGUCUGAUACUGGAUGGCUUGAGUUCGGGAGAGGGAUGCGGAAUUCCAGGUGUAGCGGUGAAAUGCGUAGAUAUCUGGAGGAACACCGGUGGCGAAGGCGGAUCUCUGGGCCAUUACUGACGCUGAGGAGCGAAAGCGUGGGGAGCAAACGGG
rnacentral:rRNA from 1 species